GGUGCACUCGUCCAGAAUAGCAAAUUGGGGUUUGUGGUAGAACAGUCGGGCCAUCUGCAAAGACAAGAGAAAAAAAGGAAUGCAACGCAACAUUACAGAUUUCAAUGUGAAUAUUUCGAGAGCAAGAGAGUAAAGUUUACAUGUUCUUCUCAAAUCUUGAUGAACAGUGUACAUGUGAUUAAAUACUUAUUGAAGGUACUUGUGGUUGUUUUAUAAAGUGACCGUUAUAAAACACAGGAGAGAUGAAUACUUACAGCCAUCCUCUGCUUUUCUCCUCCACUCAAAACAUCCAUCCAGUCCUGCACUGAGUCCCAACUGCCCUCUC